rnacentral:rRNA from 1 species
UAGGGAAUCUUCCGCAAUGGGCGAAAGCCUGACGGAGCAACGCCGCGCGAGUGAUGAAGGUCUUCGGAUCGUAAAACUCUGUUAUUAGGGAAGAACAAAUGUGUAAGUAACUAUGCACGUCUUGACGGUACCUAAUCAGAAAGCCACGGCUAACUACGUGCCAGCAGCCGCGGUAAUACGUAGGUGGCAAGCGUUAUCCGGAAUUAUUGGGCGUAAAGCGCGCGUAGGCGGUUUUUUAAGUGUGAUGUGAAAGCCCACGGCUCAACCGUGGAGGGUCAUUGGAAACUGGAAAACUUGAGUGCAGGAGAGGAAAGUGGAAUUCCAUGUGUAGCGGUGAAAUGCGCAGAGAUAUGGAAGAACACCAGUGGCGAAGGCGACUUUCUGGUCUGUAACUGACGCUGAUGUGCGAGAGCGUGGGGAUCAAACAGG